rnacentral:rRNA from 1 species
UACGGAGGAUGCGAGCGUUAUCCGGAUUUAUUGGGUUUAAAGGGUGCGCAGGCGGGAGAUUAAGUCGGCGGUGAAAUUUUGCAGCUCAACUGUAAAAGUGCCUUCGAAACUGGUUUCCUUGAGUGUGGAUGAAGUAGGCGGAAUUUGUGGUGUAGCGGUGAAAUGCAUAGAUAUCACGAGGAACUCCGAUUGCGCAGGCAGCUUACUAAACCAUAACUGACGCUCAGGCACGAAGGCGUGGGGAUCAAACAGGAUUAGAUACCCU